rnacentral:rRNA from 1 species
UACAGAGGUCUCAAGCGUUGUUCGGAUUCAUUGGGCGUAAAGGGUGCGUAGGUGGCGGGGUAAGUUAGGUGUGAAAUCUCGAGGCUCAACCUCGAAACUGCACUUGAUACUGCCUUGCUGGAGUACUGGAGAGGAGAUUGGAAUUUACGGUGUAGCAGUGAAAUGCGUAGAUAUCGUAAGGAAGACCAGUGGCGAAGGCGAAUCUCUGGACAGUUACUGACACUGAGGCACGAAGGCCAGGGGAGCAAACGGG